AGGGUGAGCCAGGACUUCCAGGGCUGCCUGGACUCCCCGGGAUUAAGGGUGAACCUGGAUUCUAUGGGCCUCAAGGUGAGCCUGGACUUCCAGGCCUGCCAGGAACUAAGGGAGAGAGAGGAGAACAAGGACCGCCUGGCAAGGGUGAACGUGGUGAGACGGGUCCAGCAGGGCACAAGGGAGAGCAGGGGGAACCAGGAACACCAGGCCCGAAAGGUUCAAAGGGGGAUUUAGGAGACAAAGGUGAUGUAGGCCCAACAGGAUCACAAGUAAGUGAAGUCUAAAAUUCUUUUUUGGUACAUUAGCUUUAUUCUUACAGCAUUUCAUUGCUCUGUUGCAUG